GACGAACGCUGGCGGCGUGCUUAACACAUGCAAGUCGAACGGAAAGGCCCUGCUUUUGUGGGGUGCUCGAGUGGCGAACGGGUGAGUAACACGUGAGUAACCUGCCCUUGACUUUGGGAUAACUUCAGGAAACUGGGGCUAAUACCGGAUAGGAGCUCCUGCUGCAUGGUGGGGGUUGGAAAGUUUCGGCGGUUGGGGAUGGACUCGCGGCUUAUCAGCUUGUUGGUGGGGUAGUGGCCUACCAAGGCUUUGACGGGUAGCCGGCCUGAGAGGGUGACCGGCCACAUUGGGACUGAGAUACGGCCCAGACUCCUACGGGAGGCAACAGUGGGGAAUAUUGCACAAUGGGCGGAAGCCUGAUGCAGCAACGCCGCGUGCGGGAUGACGGCCUUCGGGUUGUAAACCGCUUUCGCCUGUGACGAAGCGUGAGUGACGGUAAUGGGUAAAGAAGCACCGGCUAACUACGU
rnacentral:rRNA from 1 species